rnacentral:piRNA from 1 species
UGAGGUAAUCCACUCUCGAAGGCCUGAAUU